rnacentral:rRNA from 1 species
CGGCGGACGGGUGAGUAACGCGUGGGUAACCUACCCUGUACACACGGAUAACAUACCGAAAGGUAUGCUAAUACGGGAUAAUAUAUUUGAGAGGCAUCUCUUGAAUAUCAAAGGUGAGCCAGUACAGGAUGGACCCGCGUCUGAUUAGCUAGUUGGUAAGGUAACGGCUUACCAAGGCGACGAUCAGUAGCCGACCUGAGAGGGUGAUCGGCCACAUUGGAACUGAGACGCGGUCCAA